ensembl:lncRNA
GUAAUCUUCAACCACAGGCAUUUUCUCCUGGGAUUCAGAGGGGAAAGCACACUUCCACGAAUGAUAUAUCAUCGAAGAGAUAUGUGAAAAACACCUUGAGGAUUGGUCCUAAACAACGUUUGCCAUGUUUCAGUCGAUAUUAUGGAGUUAAUUUGGAAAAAAGUUAGACGUUUUGAAGACUGAAUUUUCGGGUUUUUUUGGUAGCCAAACGUGACGUACCAAAUGGAGCAAUUUCUCCUAAACAAAUCAUCUUUCAGGAAAAACGGAGCAUUUGCUAUCUAACUGAGAGUCUCCUCAUUGAAAACAUCUGAAGUUCUUCAAAGAGACAUGUUAGUGUGUUGUUGGAGGGCGAGAGUCUCAAAAUUAAAAAAUGCAGCAGUAGUCAACUUCAUCAGUUCCCCUACUGCACAUAUAAGGCUGAACAAUAUAUGUUCAACAACCACAUCAAAUAUCAUGCUUCAGUGAGGCACAAAGAGUUCACAAUCAUAAAGUUGUAGAAAUGCGACACACUUUCAUUGUUGCUAUUGCACGGCAACAAUAAUGAACAGAGCACAGUUUCUGAAGCACCUGACAUACCAUCAGCAUCCAGUGGCCCCUCAAGAGCACCCAGAGGCCCUUAAUAAACAGUGGCCAGUGGCCCCUCAAGAGCACCCAGAGGCCCUUAAACAGUGGCCAGUGGCCCCUCAAGAGCACCCAGAGGCCCAUAAACAGUCUCCAGAGGCCCCUCAAAAGCUUCGCCCCUCAAGAUCUUGUCGCCUGGACCUUGGAGGACUUUUGGUGUGGAUGAUGAUCAGGGCCGACCAAAGCAAGGUUGCUGUGGGGUGUUUGUUUUGAUGUACGCUCUGUGCAUUGCAAUGAAAGCACAGUGUGACUUCAAUGAGGUCUGAAGAAGAGAGGUUGGAACAUCGAAAAAGGCGGCAAAAACAAAACACGCAGCAGUGUAUUUCAGGAUGAUGUAGAAGACGCCCCCAAGAUGUCACAGCACGUCACAUCAGCGUCCAGGUCUGCAGGAUCAGGAAGCAGAUGUUCUUCUAAGGGACACCCUAGAGACAGCAAGGUGAUGCGAACGCCCAACAUUUAAAGGCAUCGUUUCCCUCCCUAGUGUAAAUCAUAUGGAUGGGGAAGACCGCAUUACAACCCUUAAAAAACUAUGGUUGUAUGAUGGCCUGGAUGAAGAGGAAAAUAUUCUCCUCAAGUAAUCAUUCAUGUUUUCGUUUCAGUUAGAGAGAUUAUGAGAUGUUCUAUGUGGAGGCAGUUGACAACAAGAAAAUGAAUGUUUGCCUCUUUUGAGGAGCUGGAGUGAAGCCAUUUUUGAGGAGUGGUCAAACCUUGUUUUUGUCUGCUGUGUUAAUUGUUUCAAUUGUUAAUUGUGUUGUUUAGUAAAGAUGACUUAGAAGUCACCCGAGUCUCUGAUCUCUUCACUGGAGCUGGUAUAACUUAAUGUAAAGCACAUUCAGCUUGUCAGUAUGUCUAUAUGGUAUAGUCUGUCUCCAUUCUCAUGAAUUGCACUAUAAAUCAGGAUAGGUAGAAACUGUAUAUAUAUGCUCAAUUAAGUAAUGUAAUUACAAAGUCAUAACAUUUAUCAACACAAUUUUAACAGUACAUUACAUACAUAACAAGUCUGUUGUUCACUGCAACAAUAUCAAUAGCUUGUCUCAAAUAUAGCAUGAAGCAAAAAGUGUUACAACAUGUGCCGGUUCAGCUUUAUAUAAUAUUUCCCACAAUCUUCAAAAAUGAAAUACGUUUGUAUUCAACGUGUGCCUUGCACAAACAUGUGUGUUUGUAUUCAGUGUGUGACUCUCAAACCUCAGAUGGAC